AUUGAACGCUGGCGGCAGGCCUAACACAUGCAAGUCGAGCGAGCGGCGGACGGGUGAGUAAUGUAUGGGGAUCUGCCCGAUAGAGGGGGAUCACUACUGGAAACGGUGUCUAAUACCGCAUACUAUCGGAUGAACCCAUCUGGGAUUAGCUAGUAGGUGGGUGAAAGGCUCACCUGGGCGACGAUCUCUAGCUGGUCUGAGAGGAAGAUCGGCCACACUGGGACUGAGACACGGCCCAGAGUCCUACGGGAGGCAGCAGUGGGGAAUAUUGCACAAGGGGCGCAAGCCUGAUGCAGCCAUGCCGCGGAUAUGAAGAAGGCCUUAGGUUGGUAAAGUCUGUUCAGCGGGGAGGCGUUACCCGCAGAGGAAGCACCGGCUAACUCCGUGCCAGCAGCCGCGGUAAUAC
rnacentral:rRNA from 1 species